AUGCAUAUGCACACACAAAAUGUAAUAGACAGAAAUUGGAAAAACAGAAAACAAACACCGAAAUUCAAAUUAUUAUACAACAAUUGGGAAAGUCCCCACAAACACCCAUCAGUAGGUGUUAAAUUUGUUCUCGCUUGAUAUUUUCUUCUUCUUCUUCUUCUUUACGCUAAAUCUCUUCAAAAAGUUGAUCGAACCAAGCGCAUGUCUCCAUACAUCAAUCAUAGGAGCCUUAAUCUCCAAUUCCUUGAAGAUCUCCAUGAAGUACUUGAACCUAUUUUCCUGCCUAUGUUUUUUUUUUAUGAGGAAGGGGUUUUUCACAUGACUUUUUUUUCUUUCCUCUCUUCCUCUUUUUCUUAAUUUUCUCCUUCCUUAACCUUCUCUUUUUCUUUUUCAUUUCUGUAUUUAUUUUCACAUUUUUUUUUCUUUUUUUUCUUUUCUUUCAACCACUGAUUUUCCUUUCUCAUCCUUCUUCUCACUCUCAUUCAACUUUUCUGUUUCUAUCUCCUCUAUCUUUUCUGCAGUAACAACUUUUUCUGUUUUUGUUGCCUCUUCAUACAUCUCUAGCUCUUCUUCUUCUAUCUUUUCCUCCUUGACAACCUUAUCAUUUGUAAAGAUAGCGGCUUGACAUUCUUCUUUAGGGUUAACUUCAGUAUUAACCCUAAUAAUGCCUAGAGACUUCAAGACCUUUGUUAUCUCAUCUUUCUCUAUCUUUUCUUCAUCAAUAAUCCUGUCAUCCUCAAAGAUAGGAGCUUGGCAUUCUUCCUUAGGGUUAACUUCAGUAUUAACCCUAAUAAUACCCAGAGACUUCAACGCAUGAGAAUGUUGUUCCUGCAAUAAACGUUUUUUGGCUUCCCCCAACGUUUCUUU
rnacentral:lncRNA from 1 species